rnacentral:lncRNA from 1 species
GAAGUCUUUGACCAUUUCCAUCAGGACUCGUUUGGAUUCUUCAGAGCCUCCAGCCCAGAGCUCCCUCUACCAAGUUCUGACGUGGCACACUAUCUAUGCUCUGGUAGUUCACACUCGUUUUGCACUACUAUUCCUAUCAGAACGUUCUGAUUUCCCACUGGGGAAAGAAUUAACUUUUCCCUACAAUCGUACAUCUAAAUAUUUGACCUCUGGUAUUGUGCUCCUUCUAAGUCUUUCUUCUCAGCUACUUGUAUGACAUUAGCUUGAGCAGAAAAUUGUGGAUAGGCCAAGAUCAGAGGUAAACUCUGUGCAGCGCUCAUGUGAGAUGCUUCAGGUUCUAAGGUUAAUGCCACUGGGACUGAACAGUAAGCACGUUUCUCCAACAGUUGGCUGGUGUGGGGACAUGUUUGUGCUUCUUAAUUUUAUUUUAUAUCAUGAGACAUGUAGGUUAGUGUUUCUUAUAAGUCUGCAUAUGUGUAUAUAUACAUAAAAUGUUGUACAAUGACUGUAAAUAGGUUUUGAAAAGUUUUAGAGUUCACUUAGAAUUAUUUCACCCAAAAGUCAAAAUGCUACUUUAGUAAAAUGUUAAUUUCUUGCUUUAUCCCACUUACUAAGUAGGGAGGGGAGAUCAAUGUGAGAAAUGUCUGUAGAUGUCCUAAAUGUAUACAGUUUAUUUUUUAAAGAGACUUUUAGAGUGGGAGUUUAACUGCCCAUGCAGAGUAUAGCUUAAAGUGUUAAAAGCAUCAAAAGUGAAAUCCUAGAAUUAUGUGUAGAUUCAGCUCUCAAACUUUCUUUCCAGUGGUUCUCUCCAAAAUCACAGAUGAUGUGUUUUAUGGCCAUAACGACUGUUGUUUCUUUUUUUUUUUUUUUAAAGCACUGGUUUUAGACUUUUAGACAUUGCUGGGAAGACCCUGUUGCCCUGUUUGCUGACUUCUAGUUUUUAAAGGCCUUGCUCUUUUGUUUCCCCUAAGGGGAGAAAUGUUUUAUUUCAUCUAAAGGUCUUUACUCUUAGAGAGUUUGUGAGGGAGAGAAGCCCGUGUGGUUUAGGAUGAGCCACGGUAUUUUUAUUUGCUGUGAUUUCAGCUAAGCCGUGUUAAAUGUGAAUCCCUCCUUGAAACUGCAGUGUGCUGUUUGUAUAUUUGCUCAUCAGCAUGUUUUGUAUGAACAGAUAGAAGUCAUAACUUUAAGGUAUAGGAGGACAUCUUACAGGUCUAGAGUUUCAGUAAUAAAUCAAUAUUCAGGGAAGGUAUUAUUUUGAGAAACUUUUUUUUUUUAAGAAACAAGUUAGGCUUCUUGGGAAACUUUUUUUUGUUUUGUUUUGUUUUGUUUUGUUGGUUCUUUUUUUCGGAGCUGGGGACCGAACCCAGGGCCUUGCACUUCCUAGGCAAGCGCUCUACCACUGAGCUAAAUCCCCAGCCCCAGGAAACAUUUUUAACAUGUGGGAAUAAAUUUGUGAUUUCCCCUCUUACUUCGCUGAGUAAAGAAAAGGAGAACACCCCGGAAACCGGGAAAGGGAAUAACAUUUGAAAUGUAAAUAAGAAAUACUCAAGUUAAUAAAAAAAAAAAGAAAAGAAAGGAAAAGAAAAGAAAAGAAAAGGAGAACACGCUGCUGAUGUCAGCAUCUUUUAAGGUCCCAGUCACAGAAGUCUGAGCACAAUGUGAGUCGUUCUGAGUGGAUCGCCUGCGAUUGUUUAGCAUUCCAGUGAGUCAUUAAGCAAAGCCAAAACCCAGGUCAGAGCCUAAGAACCAAAGCACGCACCGGAGAGUCAGUCAGGAGAUGGAGGCUGCCCCCACUUGAACAUCUUAGCACUGUAAAGACUCCGCUUCAGGCAUCUGGACAGCUAUUUAAUAGCAAAUUAAAGUUGUGCUUUUUCAUUUUGUUUUUUGGAUGAUGUAAGUUUAUUCUCAUUGCAAGAACAUUACCAUAACAUGACUUAAAGGAAUACAGGUUAAAAACAAAACAAAGUAAAACCCAAAAGUAAACCAAGAUUAACUUGAGUUAAUCUAGAACCAUCCCCAGAAUUGUUUUCUGCCCAAGGUUAAUGUGAAUAUGUUUAUAUUGGUUUUGUAAUUUCAUUUUAGUCAUUCUAUCCCAAAAAGAGUUUAAUGUGAGCUUAAAAUGUAAAUAAAUAAUUUUGCAAACAUG